UGCGGCCGCACGUACAGCAAGGCAAGCUGAGAAAAGCGAACUUACUUUGUGGCACUGUGCUUCCUGGAGAGGCUGCGCUAAGAUAUUCUAGGGAACGGCCGCAAAGAAAUUAUCCUCUUAGAUGCGAUUGGGAGAGCAAGGGUGAGAGGGCCAGCUAAAA
rnacentral:ribozyme from 1 species